rnacentral:ncRNA from 1 species
CGCCUUUGUUACAGUGGCAGGGCCCGACGAGACGCGCCGUACCGGGAUGCAGGCAAAGACGACGCACC